GACGAACGCUGGCGGCGUGCCUAACACAUGCAAGUCAACUUGACUGAAGGAGCAAUCUGACAGUAGAGUGGCGCAAGGGUGCGUAACGCGUAAGUAACUUGCCCAAGGUAAGGAAUAACGUCGAGAAAUCGGCGCUAAUACCUCAUAAUGCAGCGGAUCCGCAUGGAUAUGUUGUUAAAGGUUUACCGCCUUGGGAUAGGCUUGCGUCUGAUUAGCUAGUUGGUGUGGUAACGGCACACCAAGGCUACGAUCAGUAACUGGUCUGAGAGGAUGAUCAGUCACACUGGAACUGAGACACGGUCCAGACUCCUACGGGAGGCAGCAGUGAGGAAUAUUGGGCAAUGCUCGAAAGAGUGACCCAGCAACGCCGCGUGGAGGAUGAAGGUAUUCUAUAUCGUAAACUCCUGUGAGAGCAGACGAAAGACAGAUUAUUAAUUUAGGUAUGACUGUAUGCUCAGAGGAAG
rnacentral:rRNA from 1 species